rnacentral:rRNA from 1 species
GACGAACGCUGGCGGCGUGCUUAACACAUGCAAGUCGAGCGGAGAGAGGUAGCUUGCUACUGAUCUUAGCGGCGGACGGGUGAGUAAUGCUUAGGAAUCUGCCUAUUAGUGGGGGACAACAUUUCGAAAGGAAUGCUAAUACCGCAUACGUCCUACGGGAGAAAGCAGGGGAUCUUCGGACCUUGCGCUAAUAGAUGAGCCUAAGUCGGAUUAGCUAGUUGGUGGGGUAAAGGCCUACCAAGGCGACGAUCUGUAGCGGGUCUGAGAGGAUGAUCCGCCACACUGGGACUGAGACACGGCCCGGACUCCUACGGGAGGCAGCAGUGGGGAAUAUUGGACAAUGGGCGGAAGCCUGAUCCAGCCAUGCCGCGUGUGUGAAGAAGGCCUUAUGGUUGUAAAGCACUUUAAGCGAGGAGGAGGCUACUUUAGUUAAUACCUAGAGAUAGUGGACGUUACUCGCAGAAUAAGCACCGGCUAACUCUGUGCCAGCCGCCGCAGUAA